rnacentral:tRNA from 1 species
GCUCCCAUCGUCUAGCGGUCUAGGACGCCGCCCUCUCACGGCGGAAACACGGGUUCGAGUCCCGUUGGGAGUG